UUCGGAAUUAAUACAGAUAUUAUGGCUUCUUGGCUCUCCCUCCCCUCGUUCCGGUCCCGAGUCCAACGCGGGUUCUUAAACCCUAAUCGCCCCUACCGAGUCUUCGCUCGCCGGAGUACCUUCCGUUUUCCGCCCGCCCUAUAGCUUCUCUUCUCAAUAGAAGGACGAGAGGGGGUUGAGAAAGAAAACAAGGGCCUUCUCAGAUUCAAAGAAAAAUUACAGCAUCAGGCUAUCAAGGAGACUUCCUUGGUUCACGAAUAAGUGGUUUGCAAAAUUUCUCGAGGGGCAUCCACCUUGUAACAAGCCACAAGCCAGAGAAUUCCUCAUAACAACACCAGUUAUCAGAUCCCAUCAGGAAUCAUGAAUGGGACAGUACCUGGAAGAGGACAAAGUGGAUGAGGUACAGCAUAAGCCGAGGACAUUUGAACCAGAAGAGAUCAUCUGUGGGAUGAACGACCGGCACUCCCUUAACAACAUCUCCUCGCUCCAUGAUUUGAACUUAGGGUGAUGGCCCUUACAAUCCAGGUGAGAAUCGGCGACUUGCUCCAGAAGUUCAGGUGACGAUGACCGAAUGAAGUUUCUCUCGCCAAUCGAAAUCUGUCAGGAUCUAAGGGUACCAUUUCCGCAACACUGCAGCUAUAAGUAUAUUGAGAAACAAAUGAAUGAAUUCCUUUUGUGAGUACUUCUGACCAUUUCCUUUAUUAACAUACCAUGCGAGAACUGGUAUUCUGCUGUCCUCGUCUCAAGCUCCCAUGAUUUCCAGUGUCUCAUCUGCAUCAGAUGUUUUCCUUCAACAUAGAUCAAUGAAGGGACCUAUUUCUGUGAUGGGUAUUCAAUGAGUUCGCCAUACCUUUAAACUGCCCAAGGCCAUAGUGGAUAUGCAGUAGAGCACGUGGAAGACGGCUAGAACGAAGAUAAAUAUGUGGAGCUGGUGGAGACCAUCGGCAGAAAUGAAUGAAACCUUGUUCUGCAAGUUCAUAGACCAGUCACUGCUAAGCUAAUAUAGAUAAGAAUUCAAAAGGACGCAUUGCAGUAAAAUGUUAAGCUAAGAUGAAAAACAGGUGGCACUCUGUUGUGGUUUUAUUUAUACCAAAUAAAUAGAGUAUUUGGGU